rnacentral:lncRNA from 1 species
CUUCAUCUCAUUUCCAUCAUCCUUCACGUGUAUAUAACUCUCAUACACCUGUGGCUUCAAUGACCUCUUCACGACCCAUACUUUGUGAUACCCAGAGGCGACCAUUCUUCAUGUUUACCCAACCCCAUGCAUCCCAUUAAACAUCUCUCAUAUCCAUUUCUCUUCAUGCUGUCACAUUCUUUUCCCACGCACCACUUCCCUCUCUACACCGCAGCCAUACCUUUUCUCCCUC